rnacentral:rRNA from 1 species
GAUGAACGCUGGCGGCGUGCCUAAUACAUGCAAGUCGAGCGAACAGACGAGGAGCUUGCUCCUCUGACGUUAGCGGCGGACGGGUGAGUAACACGUGGAUAACCUACCUAUAAGACUGGGAUAACUUCGGGAAACCGGCGCUAAUACCGGAUAAUAUAUUGAACCGCAUGGUUCAAUAGUGAAAGACGGUUUUGCUGUCACUUAUAGACGGAUCAGCGCCGCAUUAGCUAGUUGGUAAGGUAACGGCUUACCAAGGAAACGAUUCGUAGCCGACCUGAGAGGGGGGUCGGCCACACGGGAACGGAGACACGGUCCAGGCUCCUGAGGGAGGCAGCAGUAGGGAAUCUUCCGCAAUGGUCGAGAGCCUGACGGAGCAAGGCCGCGUGUGUGAUGGAGGUCUUCGGAUCGUAAAACUCUGUUAUUAGGUAAGAACAAAUGUGUAAGUAACUGUGCACGUCUUGACGGUACCUAAGCAGAGAGCCACGGCUAACUUCGUG